rnacentral:rRNA from 1 species
GAUGAACGCUGGCGGCGUGCCUAAUACAUGCAAGUCGAGCGAACAGACGAGGAGCUUGCUCCUCUGACGUGAGCGGCGGACGGGUGAGUAACACGUGGAUAACCUACCUAUAAGACGGGGAUAACUUCGGGAAACCGGAGCUAAUACCGGAUAAGAUAUUGAACCGCAUGGGGCAAUAGUGAAAGACGGUUGUGCUGGCACUUAUAGAUGGAUCCGCGCCGCAUGAGCUAGUUGUUAAGGUAAAGGCUUACCAAGGCAACGAUGCGUAGCCGAGCUGAGAGGGUGAUCGGCCACCCUGGAACUGGGCCACGGUCCAUGCUCCUACGGGACGCCGCAGUAGGGAAUCUUCCGCAAUGGGCGAAAGCCUGACGGAGCAACGCCGCGUGAGUGAUGACGGUCUUCGGAUCGUAAAACUCUGUUAUUAGGGAAGAACAAAUGUGUAAGUAACUAUGCACGUCUUGACGGUACCUAAUCAGAAAGCCCCGGCUAACUACGUG